rnacentral:rRNA from 1 species
CUGAUCUACCAGUACAAAAGCUGGAAUAAACCCAUAAGACGAGAAGACCCUGCGGAGCUUUUAAGCCACACGCUACAUAAAACCAAACAAACCUAAAAGGAUUAAAACAAAUUUCAUAGCGUCACACUUUAAGUUGGGGCAACUGCGGAGAACAAACAAACCUCCAUGAAACAAGGCCAAAAGCCACCACGAAACAGACAAGUAAGUUGGUAAACAAAUUGACCCAGCAUUGCUGAUUACCGAACCAAGUUACCCCAGGGAUAACAGCGCCAUCCCCCUCAAGAGUCCAUAUCGCCAGGGGGGCUUACGACCUCGAUGUUGGAUCAGGACACCCAGAUGGUGUAGCCGCUAUCAAUGGUUCGUUUGUUCAACGAUUAAUGUCCUACGUGAU